CCUACGGGAGGCUGCAGUGAGGAAUAUUGGUCAAUGGACGAGAGUCUGAACCAGCCAAGUAGCGUGAAGGAUGACUGCCCUAUGGGUUGUAAACUUCUUUUAUAUGGGAAUAAAAUGUUCCACGUGUGGGAUUUUGUAUGUACCAUACGAAUAAGGAUCGGCUAACUCCGUGCCAGCAGCCGCGGUAAUACGUAGGAUCCGAGCGUUAUCCGGAUUUAUUGGGUUUAAAGGGAGCGUAGGUGGAUUGUUAAGUCAGUUGUGAAAGUUUGCGGCUCAACCGUAAAAUUGCAGUUGAAACUGGCAGUCUUGAGUACAGUAGAGGUGGACGGAAUUCGUGGUGUAGCGGUGAAAUGCUUAGAUAUCACGAAGAACUCCGAUGGCGAAGGCAGUUCACUGGACUGCAACUGACACUGAGGCUCGAAAGUGUGGGUAUCAAACAGGAUUAGAUACCCCAGUAGUC
rnacentral:rRNA from 1 species